rnacentral:misc_RNA from 1 species
AUGUUUUCAGAACUGCUAGCAAUUUGCAGGACAAAACGAAGGAACCUGUUUAAGCGAGUAUACUGAAUGUUUUCCUUUGUUUUGUCUAGAGCAUGGUACAAGUAUCAUAAGGCCUCUGUGUACUUCACUUGUAGAUUUUUUUUUUUUUUUUGAGGGGACACUUGUUGAUAUUGUUAACUCAGGUUAGAAAACUAGAAAUUUACUUCAACCACUAUUCAUGGAUGAAUUUCCUUGGUUGUCAUCCUGUACUGUCAAAGUCCUGAAGAACAUUUCUAUUUCUUCUAGCAAUCUCUUUUUCUCAGUUUGUAAACCCACAGAAUCUGCUUCUAGAGGUGCCUCGGAUGACAUCAAAUGAAUGAGACAUGCACAAACUUCCCCCAAAUCAUCUGUAACUGUUACCCUCAUCUCUAUUUGAUCAUCUGUGCGGUCAUUUUGAGCAUCUUCAGUGUAGAUAUGUUUCCUGCAUUCCUGAAGUACCCUAUUUAGAGAAGCAAUUUGAUCGGCCUUUAAGAACUCCGAGCUUACCAGCUGUUGAAAUAAAAGCACCAUCUCAGUGCUAAUAUUACUGGCCAUAAGGUUUUUAAUUAUACCAGAAAUGCAGGGAUCGUCAAACACAGUGCUCAUCCACUGAGGAGAUUUUUGUAGCUUUAGCAAUGCAACUGCUGCAUGAACAGCAGGCUUGUGAUAAUUAGUGAAAGAUUUGGAAGGUAAACAUGGAACCGCCAAAGACAUUGCCAUCUCUUCUACAAUCAGCCUGCACCAGGUAUUAUCUGCAGUGACUAUUGUCUCCUUCAUGUCCAGCUUUUCCCAUCCCAAAAUCAUUGAUAGGCAUUGGCUGCAGUUUAUAGAUACCCUGAUGUCACUGUAAAAUAUCAGGCCUUCUAAUAUAGUCACCAUGGACAUUAGGUAACCCAUGGAGCAUUUUAGUUCCUCUUUUUUUCUGUUUCUCUGCUCUGAUAGUCUUUUAAUGAACUCUAACAAGCAAUACGAUGCAACAAGCUUGACCGGAGGAGACCCAAAAUGCAACAGCCUACACAAGUCAUGGCAGUAGAUGCUAACCAUUGAAAGCGGCUGCAUCCCGUUUGAUAGAUCAAGUAAAUUUUGCCAAUCCACAGCCCCAUCGAGAACGACAUGCAAACAUCUUAAAGAGAAAAAGUUCAGUAAAAGCACGAAAAUCAGAGUUUCAGCAAUGCAUGUUCCCUCAUUGCAAUCAAACAAAGCAGGUCCCUUUGAACAGGCCUCAUGAAUCACGUUGUUUAUCACAGACGCCAGAGAAGCAUUGAAAAUUAUGGCUUUUGCAGCUCCUAACAAGACUUUGCUGGUGGAUUGGUGCAAAAUCAAGGAAAAAAUGGCAAUUAAUCGUAAAGAUUCAGUAGACCAGCUUUUUGCAGCCUUUGUGUAGAUGACAUAGUCCAUCAACUUCAUUGUCACUGCAAGCCAAGCUUCAUCAUCACUCAAUGCUUUGGCGGGCACUGAAUGUAGAACAUUGAACACUAAAAGGGAGGUUGCCAUGAAUGUUUCUGGAGAAGAAAAAUGAUUAGGAUUGUAAUAGAUAUUUCGGAUUGCAUUGCCUAUGCCGUUCAAACAUAAUUGGUCUGAUGCAGCUGGAGAGAUGCUGAUGAUUGUUGCUAAGAGAUUUACUAUUGACACAAAGUCACCCUCCUGGUUUUCUUCCUCUGCCAGCUGCAUCAGUAAGCAUACCAAAAGUCUUGCUGCGUAGUUAUCUUCAGAUGUUGCCAACUCUGCAAUUACUUCCAUAUUUAUAAUGUGACCACUUUCCCCAUGAACAACAAUCUGGGUCCCAUUUGAGCCAUUGCUUCUGCAAAAUUUUAGUAUUUGGUAAGACAAUGUGUAGCAGAGUUUCUCUUGUUGAAACAGCCAUUUCAGUGAUACAAAGUGAAUUCUUGAAGAAGGCAAAUCCCAUUCAUUUUCAGUCACUAGAUGAAACAGGAUCCUCUCAGCUUCUGGACUGUAGGGGAUUCGGUAGUUCAUUUUGGUGACACUGCGAUACAGACCAUAAAGGUUUACCAGUUGCAUCAUUGUUACUGUAUUGGUGGCAUCAUUACUGUUGACAAGAAUAUAUUGUUCAAGAGAAGCCAAUAUGGACUUCUCAUCUGCAAGCCUGAGAAAUUCAAUGUGAAAAACAAGAUAUUUUAUAAAUGCAUAUACCAAUGGAGUAAUUAUGCAUUGUAUUGUAUAAAUUAACCAGGCAACUAGGAUCAAAGUAGAUCAAUCACCUGUCAUCAUAUAAAGAACUUGCAUGUAAAAUCAACAAAACUGCAGAUUGACAAGUUGAUAAUGAUGGAUUUUGGGAGGACUUCUGUCCAAGCAGAAAUAACAGAUCAAUAGGGUCAGUUGGAAGAUUUGGAGCAGCAUCUCUAAUGGGUUCUCCAGUAUCAUUUCCCAGAAGAACAUCCACAAUUGAACUGAGCAUCAUAUAUACUCUUAAUUUCAUUUUUUCCGUAGCAAAUGCCCCUAGAUAUCCAAAUGCCAAACUGAACCAAGACGAUUUAACCAAUCUGUUUGCAAAUUUUAUGGCUUGGAUGUCAGAAUCCUGAAGCAGUAUAAAAUGAAAAGUUUCCAAUAUACCCAGGAUAAUUUCCUCAUCCACUUCGUCAAUGGCCAUCACAAACCAAGGCAAGAUAUGUGAUGUGCAUAUAUCCACAAUACAAUUUAGUAAACCUGUGAUACUAGAGUUGUUAGUGGACAUUUCUUCAUGACCAUGUCGAUAUGCCUCUUUAAGCAAGUACAAAGAGUACAAAAGUUGAUUGGGAUCUUUUUUGGAGAUAUUUAGAGAAGUUAAAAUGGCAUGACUUAUUGCUUCUUCAACUGAUGUUAUCAGAUCCAAAGUUCUACAGAAAGAUGGAGAUCGUAAAAGAGCUACAAAAAUUGAGCAGACCAUUACAAAUGUGUCUGAAGACAUGCCCAUCUCCCCAUCAGUAUGCCUCUUCAACAUCCUUGCCAAAACAUGAACUAGUUCAUCAAUAUGGGAAGUUGAUAUGAUUCCAGGAAAAUCAGAAAUGCCAUUCCAUAUAAGUUUCAUUGUUUGAAUUUGAACACGAUGAAAAGGAACUUCAGAUACGAAUCGCAGAAUUGGAAUAAGAAUUGGGAAUCCAACAAGUAGUCUUUCUGUGAAGCCUUUUUCAGCUAUUGAUAAAAGAUCAAGAACCAGAAUGCAAGAGUUGACAACUGGGUCCUUACCUUCUGUCCACAGACAAUAGAAAUUCAUGAGCACCACAACUUUUUGCAGCAUAAUAACUUCAGUUUUGGAGAAUCAAAAAGAGAAAUAUAGAACGAGGCAUAAUUCCUUGUCAAGCUUGGAUGCUGGAAGUCAUUGGCAAUGCAAGAGUUUAACCAGAAUUCCGUUCACAAUAUUGGAAGGUCAUAAAAAUGUAGAUUGGAUUGUAUCAAAUCUGGAUGUAGGUAGCCCUUGAUUUUAAUAUGCAUGCAGAAUAACCCUUACCUGACAAUCUUAGUAUUUCAAACACGUAGUCCACAAUGUUUUCUUCAACCAAAAGUUGAAUCUGUUUGCCUGGAGCCCCUUCCCUUGACAAAUAGUGAAAGAUUAGAUCUAGUGUGCUGACUUGGAUUUGCCUAUCUGAUGAAAGAAGUGGGCCUUUAAUGGCCUCAGCAAAUAAGAGAUUAAGAGGAGGAUCAUCUACUCCACGUUCUGUCGUUUGCAUGAAGUUAUCAGCUUCAUCAGAACUCAUGCUACGUAUGUCAUUUGCAUAUGCAUUCUCGAAAUAGCCCUUCUGAGCGAGGAUUGUCAAAAAUGCUACACAAUUCAAUCGGACAGUAUCAUCCUGGGUCUUCACAAGGGCCUCCAGUGACAGAUGCAAUAGCUUAGGACAGAAGGCAAGAAGAGAGUCAGCUCCAUCAAUAUCCUUAUAUGCAGAUUGGCAAAGGGAUAGUUUGUAUAGAACAAACAAGAUCUCUCCCCGUAUUUCUUCACUGCAUCAAUGGAGCAAGAAAGCAUGUAGGCAAGUUCAAUUAUGAUUCAGUGGUGCAAGGUGAAGGUAAAUUAUGACUGUCAUAGUUGCUUCAUAGAUACCUUGGCAACUGAAGACCUGUGACAAGAUUGGAUAAAAGGGCAUCUUUGUCUUUAAUGUGAGCAUAAGGAUUAUUCGUAUAACAGUUCAAGAGAACACCAAAACAGUGGAGCACAUACACCUGCCGCCGACUCCACACCAAGGUGCCGGAGGAGAUGUGAUCGGCUACUCUCAUAAGAAACUCAUCACAUAGGGAGCCAUCACAGGACCCGCAGAGAUCAGUGAUAAGAUCAAUGAGCUGGCGAGCGAUGGAGUCGUCAUCAAACAAGGAGAGAGCAGAGACGAGAGGAGAGAGGAGGAAGUGAGGAUGAAAAGAGAGAAGAGCGUGAAGGAAGGGAGGGUGGGAGAGCGAGAGAGAAAGCUGGGAAAGGGCAUAGGAGACAUGGAAGGUAGGCGCGCGUGCAGUGGUGAUGAGAUUGGAAAGGCAGAGGAGGCAGAUAAAGCCGCCUUGUUGGGUGGGAAGAGAGAGUGUGGAUCUGUGGCCUUUGGAGCAUUGAUGAGAAGUUUGGAGGGUAAGCAAAGGAUUGGUGGUGGACUGAAGCCGUGAAGCUGAUUCUUCCUCGAUCAGGUCCUCAAAAUCAAGGUCGGGGUCUUGCAAGUCUGCAAACAACAUGGCAGAGAGAGGGAGACAGACGGGGAUAUGGGUUUCGGUGGUUUG